CUACGGGCUGCAGCAGUGGGGAAUAUUGCACAAUGGGCGCAAGCCUGAUGCAGCCAUGCCGCGUGUAUGAAGAAGGCCUUCGGGUUGUAAAGUACUUUCAGCGGGGAGGAAGGGAGUAAAGUUAAUACCUUUGCUCAUUGACGUUACCCGCAGAAGAAGCACCGGCUAACUCCGUGCCAGCAGCCGCGGUAAUACGGAGGGUGCAAGCGUUAAUCGGAAUUACUGGGCGUAAAGCGCACGCAGGCGGUUUGUUAAGUCAGAUGUGAAAUCCCCGGGCUCAACCUGGGAACUGCAUCUAAUACUGGCAAGCUUGAGUCUCGUAGAGGGGGGUAGAAUUCCAGGUGUAGCGGUGAAAUGCGUAGAGAUCUGGAGGAAUACCGGUGGCGAAGGCGGCCCCCUGGACGAAGACUGACGCUCAGGUGCGAAAGCGUGGGGAGCAAACAGGAUUAGAUACCCGCGUAGUC
rnacentral:rRNA from 1 species